AGAGGUUGUUGUGGUUUGAAGUUUGUAGCGUGUUGGAUUUGCGAGCGCGAGUGGCCUGCAAGAUAUUUGAGUGUGGCUGUGUAAAAUGAGCAGUCUAGCAGAGCUACAGUCUAGGCAACGGAGGCUGGAGAACGCUGGACGUCCAUCGUGGAGAAUAUGCAGGUGUGAGUAGGUCACCGAUGGGCGUAUAAGCUGGCCCACUGGAUCAAUGCAGGGUCA